rnacentral:rRNA from 1 species
UACGGAGGGUGCAAGCGUUAAUCGGAAUUACUGGGCGUAAAGCGUGCGCAGGCGGUGAUGUAAGACAGGUGUGAAAUCCCCGGGCUUAACCUGGGAACUGCAUUUGGGACUGCAUCGCUGGAGUGCGGCAGAGGGGGAUGGAAUUCCGCGUGUAGCAGUGAAAUGCGUAGAUAUGCGGAGGAACACCGAUGGCGAAGGCAAUCCCCUGGGCCUGCACUGACGCUCAUGCACGAAAGCGUGGGGAGCAAACAGG